GGGCUCUAACUGCUCCCAGGGCUCUAACCGCCGGGCCCUACCGCUUCUCCUCUCCUCGCGCUGAGCCCGGUCCCUUCACCUCUCUCUGUGGGUCUCCCCCCUCGGAAAACAGAGCUCUAAGGGCGCCUGCACCCCCACUUUGGCGCGGAGAGGACAGGAGACGGUGUGCCUGGCGGUGCCUUCCCCGUCCCCAGGGCGCACUGGGCCCACCUCGGAUCUGCCGCACGGGUUUUUACCCUUCUGAACACGUGGAAGGGUCCUAAGAGCGUGUUAAGGCUCCUGCUUGCUGCUUCUAGCACGUUCUUUCCCGGUCAGUUUCAACGGACCUCCAGGCAGAAGGAAGAAUCCAAUCCCCGGUGGAAGAGCGCGCUUCACGAGGGCAGAGGCUCUGUACUGCAUAUUCUCCGUACCUUUAGCACCCACCACAGUAGGUGCUCAAUACGUGUGUGCGGCGAACGAGAGGCUGUCCAACUUCUCGAACCCUUGGGGCCUGAGAACUUAAACACAGCUAGCCUGGAAACUAACGAAUCCAGCUCAUCUUUCAAGACUUCUCCAUAAAACCUGUCCUGCUGGGGCGCCUCAGUGACUCAGCUGGUUAAGCGUCUGACUCUUGGUUUCCACUCAGGUCAUGAUCUCAAGGUCGAGAUCAAACCCCACACUGGGCUCCAUGUGGGUGCUGGGCCUGCUUAAGAUUCUCCUCUCCCUCAAAAACAAAACCAAAACCAACCUGUCCUGCCAAAUGUUUCCUUUCCACUAUAAAACUGUUAUAAAAUGUACUGCUCAUAAUAAUAAUUUGGAGUGUUUCUUACGCUGUCUUGUAUUACAUCCUUUUUAACGUAUGUAGCUUUUGUCUUACCUGCCUACACCGAGGAGGUUGGGGACUAUGAUAUAGUUUCUUCUCUAUGUCACUUAUUAGAUGUUCAGUAAACACCCUGUAUUUGGUGGCUAUACCCAAUACUCUGUGGAUUCUACAGGAAAUGUUGUAACCUGACCAAAAACAACUCAUCACUCUCAGACGGCAACCCACCAUCUCCAUG